AUUGAACGCUAGCGGGAUGCUUUACACAUGCAAGUCGAACGAGUGGCGGACGGGUGAGUAAUAUAUCGGAACGUGCCCGAUAGCGGGGGAUAACUACUCGAAAGGGUGGCUAAUACCGCAUACCUUCGGAUGUGCGCAGAUGGGAUUAGCUAGUGGGGGGGGUAAAGGCGAACCAAGGAAACGAUCCUUACCUGGUUUGAGAGGACGACCAGCCACACUGGGAAUGAGACACGGCCCAGACUCCUACGGGAGGCAGCAGUGGGGAAUAUUGGACAAUGGGGGAAAGCCUGAUCCAGCCAUCCCGCGUGUAUGAGAAGGCCUUCGGGUUGUAAAGUACUUUUGGCAGAGAAGCGGUACCUGCAGAAUAAGCACCGGCUAACUACGUGCCAGCAGCCGCGGUAAUUC
rnacentral:rRNA from 1 species